AAUAUUGCACAAUGGGGGAAACCCUGAUGCAGCAACGCCGCGUGAGUGAUGACGGUCUUCGGAUUGUAAAGCUCUGUCUUUAGGGACGAUAAUGACGGUACCUAAGGAGGAAGCUACGGCUAACUACGUGCCAGCAGCCGCGGUAAUACGUAGGUGGCAAGCGUUGUCCGGAUUUACUGGGCGUAAAGGGAGCGUAGGUGGAUAUUUAAGUGGGAUGUGAAAUACCCGGGCUUAACCUGGGUGCGGCAUUCCAAACUGGAUAUCUAGAGUGCAGGAGAGGAAAGGAGAAUUCCUAGUGUAGCGGUGAAAUGCGUAGAGAUUAGGAAGAAUACCAGUGGCGAAGGCGCCUUUCUGGACUGUAACUGACACUGAGGCUCGAAAGCGUGGGGAGCAAAC
rnacentral:rRNA from 1 species